GUAAAGUGCAGUGAAUUAGAAUGGAAUAAGCGACUAAAAUAUGAGAUUAUAGUCCACCAUCACUCAGCACCCAGAUCUAGUUCAGCUGGCUCUUGUGAAGCUUGUAUUGCUUCUAAGCUCGUUAAGGGCCUUAUCACGAUUCUCUUCCAUCUAAUUUUGUCGCAAUGUGAUGUUUCUAUGUCCAUUGAGAGCCUUUCGACAGUAUCAGCUAGAUUCUUGAUAUCGAAAGCCAUUACUCACAGCCCGAAGAGUUAUGCUCUGACCAAAUGAUGCAGCUGCAAUGGAGCAGUACAAAUUUGGAAGAGAAAACUAAUUUAAAGCUAAAGCUAGAAUUAAACUAGGAGAAAUUUUCAUUGACAACAAACCCUAAAAGCCAUUAUAAUAUAUAAAUGAUGAAAUCAGAAAUAGGAUAAGAUUGCUAAGCAAGGAACUAGUAGGAGCUCCCUUCCCAGCUAUCUUGCCAGUUACCGUAUUGAUAGAGGAUGGAAUCUACUAAAAAGACCUAAUAGUAAUAAUAGAAACUUGAUAAAUAAAAAUAUUAGGGACUAAAAUGCUAAUGGCAAAACUUGGACUCUCCUCCUUUAAAACUAACUCCAAUGGCUAAGUGCAACUCCAAAAACGAAGGAUACCACUUCUCUGUUGCGAUACGCAUCAAGGAAAAGCCCCAAUUAAAGAUCCAAAAAUAGAAAAUUUAGAGACACUUUUUGUGAAGUCAGGUUCCAAGAUAUAGAAAAAUCUAUUCAAAACAAAGCAAUCACAGACACUCAUGUAUUCUUGGAUCAUAACAUUGGCCUUCAACCACCACUGGCAUCCGUACGAUCAGAAUCAAGAUACCAGAUUAUGUGAAUAUCUAUCUCAUCUAAGGAGAAUCUCUCAUUGGUUACAUGGGCUGAUUAGUCCUCUAGAGAGUGAGUUGAUAAAUAAUGUCUCUACGGCAGGUUUGGUGAAUUACGUGGUGACUUCGACCCUUAAUGUAAAUUUCGACUUAGAGUUAUCUUCAUUCAAUAUGGCUUGACUCUGUUUCUUAUAUGCUUCAUUUUGCAGAGUACAUUGGUUUCUAUUGAGCUUAUGCAGAGAGUGUUGGAGCAUAUAAUACUAUCUCAGAGUAUAAGAAAGCCACCGAAAGACUAAAGGCUGAAAAUAAAAAGAUAUCAGGUCAUCAGGAAAAAUCGAUUACUAAAGAGUUAGAGCAGAUGGAGGCAAAAUUAAAGGAAUAGGGAAUCUCUUUUGCUAAACAAUUUUCUAAAGCAAGCAAAGAAAUUUGGAGUCUCAAAGCUGCUCAUUCAGAAGGACAUAUACUCAGGCUAGCUUGUGGAAGAGUAUUCUAGGGCCAUAAAUGAUCUCCAAAUAUUGAGAGAUAGAGUAAAAUCUCUUAAGAUGGCACUUGAAGUUUCGGAAGCUGCUCUUAAAGAUUUGAAAACUUAAAAUGCAGAGCUAUAAGCCAAGAAUGAAAAAACGUCUCCAGACUAUGAAGAUCUCAAGAUCUAGUCCGAGAUUGAUCCGAAUUGAAUUUUUUUAAAACCCAGUUAAAAACUUAGGAAGAAGCUCAUGUCGCAAUACCCAAUAUUAAAAGGAAAAUUGAGAAAGCCAAGCUAGCAAUAAAGAAUGCUCGGUGAGCCAUGAAUUCAUCUAUCUUUGAAGGAGAUUCGUUAGAGGAAGGGGUGCUUCUUGACCAACAGGAUGAGACAGACAAAGAAGAAGACACUGAGCCACAUCCUACCUCUCCAUUUUCUCAAGCUAAUCACCUCCAAACUGCUCUGUCAACUUCCCAAUUAGCUAAUCUGGAUCCUGUCUCCCAUGAAUCAAAUGAUUCCUGAGAAUAUAUCUUUUUUUGUGCCUUGUACAGUUUGUCUGGACUUUUUUGCCUUGAAGUAUCAAUGAAACCUUGCAACUCAUAUUUUUGAGUUUGAGUAUUUCGUACUUUAAAAAUAGGCAAAAUACAUAAACAGGUCUUCAAGUUUUCUCAACGGUUAGCCAGACACCUCAACUGACCCGUUUAUCAUUUUAAUACUUUUUCUCCACUAAAGUACGACUUCGUGAAUCCUUCACGCUGACAUGGCAAAGUGUGUGCUUUAUACUUAAUUCUAAGCGCGUGAAAUGCUCAAAAUUAAGGUUUUUUUCUUUUUUCUUUUAAUUUAACUUUAUUUUAUGUGGAUUCCACUGUAUUUUAUUUUUCAUACAUUAAUUUCACUUUCUUCCCAAAAUAUUUCAUCUUCACCAAACCUCUUCCUUCCGCCAUUAAUCCACCCCCUCUUCUUCAUAAACAAUUACUAUCAAUAGUGGUGUAAAAGCUAACAACAAUGGAGCUAUGUUCAAUUUUUGCAAUGUAACCUAGUUCAACAAUGGAACCUGGUUGAAUUUUGCGUGCCUAAGCAAAAGAUAGAAACAAUGGAACCUGAUUCGUCUUUGCAGUGAUCCAAGCAGCUACAAGACCUUUAGGCAAAUCGCGAAUCUUGCCGAAAAUGCCUAUUUCCAUCAUCCCUUCCAAACCCCAAAAUUCUGAAACCCUAGCCUUAAAUGUGAAAGGCCCCGAAUUGCUCGUCUUUGCUUCAAAUCAGCAGUUGAUACAAAAUGGAUGAACACAAUUAUUUUGGUUCUUAAAUUUUCUGUUGGGUAACAACAUUGGCUCGAUACAAAUUUCACAGUAUGUUUCCCAUUAUUAGUGUGAGUGGUGUGUUUGAUUUUAUUUUUUUUGCAAUUUCCCUCUUCUGCAAAGUAGUUGCUGAAGAAAACUGGAGACGAGGAGGAAGGGCCGGUGGUAAUUCAUAGAGAUGGUGAUUAAAGGAGCUUUUUCCAUAAUUAUUGUUCUUCUUUCUUUUUUAAAUUAUUAUUAUUGCUUUUUUUGUUUUGUUUUAUAAUAGGUGGAAAAUUUUUUAAUUAAAAUUACACAUGGCAUUUUCUCGUUUGUUCGUUUGAAAUGGAUCCGAGAGUGCAUUUCACGCGAGGUGGGCUGAUGAGGUCGGGUGUUUAAUUGACCUACUUUAUUGAAGACUUGAAGUGUCCAACUGAAAAUGGGGUCAGUUGAGGUGUCUGGUUAACCGUUGAUGACAACUUGAAGGGCCCGUUUAUGUAUUUCGCCUUAAAAAUAUUUUUGUCUUUCUCCAUUUUCAGAGUUACCAUUUCUAUUGAACGUUUAUACUUAGUCGCAUUGACUUAAGUUAAUUUCUAUUUAUUUUUUUCAAAGCAAGAAUUUAGAGCCUAAAUGUUAAGUAUUGGGCUUAAAUAUAAAAGAGGACUUUUUUAUA